UAAGACAAAAGAAGUAACAAAGUCACUUAGAAGAAGUGCAGUUAUGGAGCUGUUCCUGAGCGGUACUGGAUUCCUACCAUAAAGUCAUUGCUCGAGACGCUUUCUUGAACAACAAACCCUGUUAACAACAUAUUCUAUUGUAAUAGUGCUGUUUUGACUUUCUAGAAGUCAGUACUUCUGAAUAAAAACAAAUUAUCAUAA